rnacentral:ncRNA from 1 species
CAUAGGCAGUGGCCUGGUUAAGGUAAUCCACCAAAGCCAUAGCAAAAGUGAGUCUUCAUAGGGCAUUGUCACUUCUUAUAGAACCGAACCUGGGUGCUCUAUAUAUAACCAGGAUGAAUCUUAGGUAAAACUAAGUGGAGGUCCAAACAGACUAAUGUUGAAGAAUCAGCGGAUGCGUUGUCGUUAGGGGUGAAAUUCCACUUGAACCUAGAGCUAGUUAGU